rnacentral:lncRNA from 1 species
UAUGUCCACUCACGCCCAAAGCUUCCCAACAGACUUGGAUUGCAAAUAAAGUGGCCAAAAAAGAAACCAAGAUCGUGAUGCUGCUUAACCAAAAGAGGGGGAAAUAAACCACAAAUCUCACAUCUCUUCUUGACCGGUCCUACUCUGAGCUCCAUCAGAGGGAUUUUUCUUGUAUGGGUUAUCUUUUACAUGUUUUUGCCCCAGUGCCAGUAUGACCAAAGGCUUUAACACUUGAAAAGUAGUAACAGCAGUGAAGUUCCCUCUUUGUGAUCUGUCUUGCUAGCCCUUGAGUCAAGGUGCAUUUGUCCUGUACCUGCCAUUGGACUAUUGGCCUUUUGCUAAACCAAAACAAUCUAGGCCAUACCGAAAUUGAAAGAAGGCCUUCCUACUCUGCGGCUGUUGUGCAAUCAGUGCUCAUCAAGGAUGGCUGAAGGCACAAGAUGAAACACACCCUGCGUUUGAGGCUAAGGUAUAUUAACCUUUCCACUUGGAAUGCCUAAUUGCUCAAAUAUUGCCAACAUUGUUCAAACUGCCAGAUAUGUUAGGGAACAGGCAGAACUGGAGGGACAACUCUAUAUAAGGGGUAUGACAAAUUUAUUGGGUAAAUUGUAUGGGAGUGCUUAACUCCUCUCUCUGUUCUGUUUUUUUGUAAGGACAACUGCCAAGUAGAGUUGAUCAUGACUAAUUCAUGUGAGGAAAUACAACAGAGAAGUUAAACAGCAACAACCAGUUUAAUUUCACUUGUUACCAAUAAGGCCUAACUUAAUUUUCAAAAGGAGAUGAAAGGGUUACCACCUUCCUCUCCCAUGUGGACGUUGAGUGACACAGGUGAAGUCUUCAGCUGUCCUUCUGAUCCUGAUGGGCCCACCAAAAGCACCAAGGAGCAACCAGCCCUGGCUGAAAAGCAGUGCAGGAGCACAGGAGCCAGAGCCGUGUGGCCAGCGAUGGAGACAAGGAAGAGAGAGAGGGCAUCCCUGCCCCAUCCCUCACAGGAUACCUGCCCGGUGACAGGCGCAUUCCUCGGCCCCACCGCAUCCACUCAGCCCUGGCUCACGCAAUAAUUAGCCAAGUGUUUCCUGGCUGCCUUUAAUUACAGCCACAGCUAUUUCCCUGGCUCUAAUGUAACGCCUCUGAACGACAGCAAAGGUUUUGGGCUGCAUCCCGCGCGCAGCCCGGUCCCAGCACGUGUUGGGGCGCAGCCGUGCACCGGCAGCCGCUGAU